rnacentral:rRNA from 1 species
CCUACGGGAGGCAGCAGUGAGGAAUAUUGGUCAAUGGACGAGAGUCUGAACCAGCCAAGUAGCGUGAAGGAUGACUGCCCUAUGGGUUGUAAACUUCUUUUAUAUGGGAAUAAAACGUUCCACGUGUGGGAUUUUGUAUGUACCAUAUGAAUAAGGAACGGCUAACUCCGUGCCAGCAGCCGCGGUAAUACGGAGGAUCCGAGCGUUAUCCGGAUUUAUUGGGUUUAAAGGGAGCGUAGGUGGAUUGUUAAGUCAGUUGUGAAAGUUUGCGGCUCAACCGUAAAAUUGCAGUUGAAACUGGCAGUCUUGAGUACAGUAGAGGUGGGCGGAAUUCGUGGUGUAGCGGUGAAAUGCUUAGAUAUCACGAAGAACUCCAAUUGCGAAGGCAGUUCACUGGACUGCAACUGACACUGAGGCUCGAAAGUGUGGGUAUCAAACAGGAUUAGAUACCCUUGUAGUC